ACAGAUUCGAAGAAGACGAAUUAAAACUGCAAUCAGCAAUCGUUCGAAACUGCCGGUGAGUGGGUGCUUAUAUUGCGUUCAUUUUUAUGGACUAUUAUUUUCGUUUUGGUUGCAGUAUCUUUGGUAAGAUUAUUUCUUUAAAUGUCGCCAAAGAAACUUGGAAGGAAGGGCCAAGGAGACCAUAGUCAGUGAAGGAAAAUUGUGGCCAAUGUAUCGAAUUUUGGCAUAUGGAAGCAGAAGGAUUAAGUAUUCCUUUAAAAAACCAGAGAGAACAUAGUUUGGCAGUUACAAAGGUUUCCCCCUCUAUUUACAAAGGGAUUUUAAAAGAAACGUCAAAGAUUGCAGACAACCUCAGUUGCUCAUACAGCCCUCCACAAAAAAUACGUCCCAGAGUUUCUAGAAAACUCGACUUAAUUCCUAGUCAAAUAAAAUAUAUUGGGGAACUGGUUUAUAAUUUUUGUAUAGUGGAGAAAAGAAGACUGACUCUUAAAUUAAUCUUGGAAAAACUAGAAUAGCAGUCAGUAAUUCGUGAGCCCAUAAGCAAAGCGUCCAUUGGGAGACUAUUAAGACAGAUUGGAUUCAGGCAAUUAAGUACAAAGUUUCUCCAAGUUUGUUGUUAUAUCAAAUUUCAAGAACUGCAUUAAAUUGUUUGUACUGGUAAAGAACAACUGAGAAAUUUAGUUAAUUCUAAAACUAUUGCAAAGGCAUCAUCGAUAAUUUUAUUGGGAAUUGCAU